CCCGGUGAUAAUGGCGGAGGGGAAACACCCGAUCCCAUUCCGAACUCGGAAGUUAAGCCCUCCAGCGCCGAUGGUACUGCUGGGGCAACCUGGCGGGAGAGUAGGUCAUCGCCGGGA
rnacentral:rRNA from 1 species